GACGGAGGAUGCAAGCGUUAUCCGGAAUGAUUGGGCGUAAAGCGUCCGCAGGUGGCAGUUCAAGUCUGCUGUCAAAGACCGGGGCUUAACUUCGGAAAGGCAGUGGAAACUGAACAGCUAGAGUAUGGUAGGGGCAGAGGGAAUUCCUGGUGUAGCGGUGAAAUGCGUAGAUAUCAAGAGGAACACCUGAGGCGAAGGCGGGUUGCUAGGCUGACACUGACGCUGAUGCGCGAAAGCCAGGGGAGCAAACGGG
rnacentral:rRNA from 1 species